rnacentral:misc_RNA from 1 species
UGAAGAACGUAGCGAAAUGCGAUAACUAAUGUGAAUUGCAGAAUUCAGUGAAUCAUCGAGUCUUUGAACGCACAUUGCGCCCCCUGGUAUUCCGGGGGGCAUGCCUGUCCGAGCGUCAUUGCUGCCCUCAAGCACGGCUUGUGUGUUGGGCUCCGUCCCCCCGGGGACGGGCCCGAAAGGCAGCGGCGGCACCGAGUCCGGUCCUCGAGCGUAUGGGGCUUUGUCACCCGCUCUGUAGGCCCGGCCGGCGCCAGCCGACAACCCAUCAUCCUUUUCAGGUUGACCUCGGAUCAGGUAGGGAUACCCGCUGAACUUAAGCAUAUCAAUAAGCGGAGGA